rnacentral:ncRNA from 1 species
AUUUUAAGAGGAUAGAUUUGACUGAUUGCGACCUCUUCUAUAAGUUUAUAAUAUAAGCUUUUAGAAAAUACUUAAACUUAAACGAGAAGAAUCUCAAAAUUAAGUUACAAGUAAAAACGCUAAAAAGAAAUUU